rnacentral:rRNA from 1 species
GACGAACGCUGGCGGCGUGCUUAACACAUGCAAGUCGAGCGGUAAGGCCCUUUCGGGGGUACACGAGCGGCGAACGGGUGAGUAACACGUGGGUGACCUGCCCUCAGCUCUGGGAUAAGCCUGGGAAACCGGGUCUAAUACUGGAUAUGACUCCAUGACGCAUGUUGUGGGGUGGAAAGCCUUGUGCGGCUGAGGAUGGGCCCGCGGCCUAUCAGCUUGUUGGUGGGUUGANGGCCUACCAAGGCGACGACGGGUAGCCGGCCUGAGAGGGCGACCGGCCACACUGGGACUGAGACACGGCCCAGACUCCUACGGGAGGCAGCAGUGGGGAAUCUUGCGCAAUGGGCGAAAGCCUGACGCAGCGACGCCGCGUGAGGGAUGACGGCCUCGG